rnacentral:tRNA from 1 species
UCUAAGGAUGCGUUCGACUGGACAGCUUGUCUGUCCUCGCGCGCACCGAAGACAAAGCUCCGACUGGCCUUCUCAGGGCCGACAGAGAGCACAUUGAAUGCGGCGAUCGCGCCGUCUUCGUUUCUCUUCCUUCGUUCGAACGCUUCGGCCGCGCCGGAGCAAGAACAGCAAGCCGCGCUGGCGCUCUUGUCGCCGGCCUGUCUUUCGGUCUAUGGAGCCCCCGUGUUCCUGCCCGGCCGGGCAGGGCGCGGAUUGGCAUGGGCCGGUAGCUCAGGUGGUUAGAGCGCACGCCUGAUAAGCGUGAGGUCGGAGGUUCAAGUCCUCCUCGGCCCACCAUGUCAAAAAUCCCUUUGGGGCCUUAGCUCAGCUGGGAGAGCGCCUGAUUUGCAUUCAGGAGGUCAGCGGUUCGAUCCCGCUAGGCUCCACCAUUUCCUGGUGGCAUGCCAAAGGAUCUGUUUCGAACGAAAGAAGUCACCAGUUUCCGCCCGGCUUCGCCGGUGCGGGAUGUUUGUCAUUGUAUGGGAAAGAUCGAUCCGCUUCAUGCGCGCCUUGUGGCGCCAUGAGGGUCUAGCCGACAUUGCGCUCUCCUGAGCGUUGUAAGGGUCGAUCUGCAAGUAAAACCAACAUUGUCUGAUCAAAGACUACUGCAACCAGGGCGGUGGGCAUGCGAUGCAUUUCCCCAUCACACAUGGUUUUCAGUAGCGAUCAAGCGUCAAAAAGGGCAUUCGGGGGAUGUCUUGGCGGUAAGAAGCGAAUGAAAG